rnacentral:lncRNA from 1 species
GACUUAUACUUGAGUUUUUAGAAAAAAAGAAAUGCUCUGAAAACUCUUAUAUCUAUAAAUCUAUAAUCUAUAAACUACUAUUAAUCCUCAUGGCCUUAUGUUGAUGUGGCCUAACACCCUUAAUUUUGGGAUGUGGGUCCACUAAUUAUUAUAAUUAUUUUUUAAAAAAUUAAACUACUAUUAAUCCUUAUGGACUUAUACUUGAGUUUUUAGAAAAAAAGAAAUACUCUGAAAACUCUUAUAUUGAUAAUAAUAUAUAAUAUACUUUAUUCACAAUAAAUAAGCUAUAUUAUUUUAUCAAUAAUAUAUAAAGUAAUAUUUUUCAAGUUGGGCUAGAAUGCUAUUUAUAGUAUUUGCCUCCUUUUGCUAUCAAGUUUUUAGUCUUUGAAUCAAUCCCUUUCAUCAUUUUUAACCAUCGAAAAUAUUAUAACCUAGUGGAGACCACUCAACCCUGAGGGACUAUAAUAUCAUUCUAAUCUUACAAUUUUUCAUCAAAGGAUUAAAAACUUGAUAGCAAAAGAGCCAAAUAGUAUCAAUAGUAUUCCAGCCCAACUCAUAUUUUUCACUGAUCUUUUUAAUUAUUUUUUCUCAAAUUGGCUGGUUUUUUUUUUUUUUUUCUUUUUUCUCCAUUUUCUUUUCUGUUGAUUAAAGAUGGACCGUCAUCGUGAUGAAUGGUGCCCUUUGUCCGAUGCGUUGUCAUUUCGCCAUUUUUUCUACCAAUGGAUACUUCCCAUGGUUUGAAUAUAGACUGAAUUUAUACAUCAAGUAAAAAUAUUAAUUUUUUUCUUACAUUUUGUUUCCUGUUUGUUUAGUAGAUUACGUAAUUUCAGUUUUACAGUAACAUCUAUUUACUAUAAAGUUCGUGUUACUGUACUAUAUCUACUAAAAGAUUUGAAAAUGAUAUGUCUCUAAUCACUUAUCAUUUUUAUAAUAUUAUAGGACAUUAUUUCGAAGUCUCGCUUCAUCAAUAUAACUCGCUGCAAUAUGCGGGCCACUACACUAGUAUAUAUUAAAGGGUAUAGGAUUAGGCUUUGGGUUUGGGUUCCGGUUUGGGGUUUAGCGGAGCAUUUGUGAUAGAUUUAUGUAUUUACAGUGACAUGAAUAAUAUUUUAAAGUUUUAAAAGGUUACGUUUGAAAUUGUCUCCUUAUAAUUUAUAGCUCAUGGAGAACAAUAUGAAAGUUAGAAUAAAAAUAUUAAAAUUCAUAAAUAUUAUCAAACAUAAUUAAAAAUAUUUAUUAAAGGUAAAUGGUCAUUUGGUUGAA